rnacentral:tRNA from 1 species
GGCUGGUUAGCUCAGUCAGUUGAGCAUGGCACUAAAAACGCCAAGGUUGUGGGUUCAAUUCCUGUUUGGUCG